GACGAACCGAGCGAACGUUGUUCGGAAUCACUGGGCUUAAAGGGCGCGUAGGCGGGCUGUCAAGUCUGGGGUGAAAUCCCGCGGCUCAACCGCGGAACUGCCUCAGAUACUGACGGUCUCGAGGGAGGUAGGGGCGAGCGGAACUGAUGGUGGAGCGGUGAAAUGCGUUGAUAUCAUCAGGAACUCCGGUGGCGAAGGCGGCUCGCUGGACCUCUUCUGACGCUGAGGUGCGAAAGCCAGGGGAGCAAACGGG
rnacentral:rRNA from 1 species